UACGUAGGGUGCAAGCGUUAAUCGGAAUUACUGGGCGUAAAGCGUGCGCAGGCGGCUUUGCAAGACAGAUGUGAAAUCCCCGGGCUUAACCUGGGAACUGCAUUUGUGACUGCAUGGCUGGAGUGCGGCAGAGGGGGGUGGAAUUCCGCGUGUAGCAGUGAAAUGCGUAGAUAUGCGGAGGAACACCGAUGGCGAAGGCAGUCCCCUGGGCCUGCACUGACGCUCAUGCACGAAAGCGUGGGGAGCAAACAGG
rnacentral:rRNA from 1 species